UACAGAGGGGGCAAGCGUUAUUCGGAAUUAUUGGGCGUAAAGGGCGCGUAGGCGGCUUUUCAAGUGACGGGUGAAAUCCCUCGGCUUAACCGAGGAACUGCCUGUCAGACUGGAAGGCUUGAGACCGGGAGAGGUGAGUGGAAUUCCCAGUGUAGCGGUGAAAUGCGUAGAUAUUGGGAGGAACACCAGUGGCGAAGGCGGCAUCCUGGACCGGCAUUGACGCUGAUGAGCGAAAGCUAGGGAGCAAACGGG
rnacentral:rRNA from 1 species